rnacentral:rRNA from 1 species
AAGUUUCAACAACGGAUCUCUUGGCUCUCGCAUCGAUGAAGAACGCAGCGAAAUGCGAUAAGUAAUGUGAAUUGCAGAAUUCAGUGAAUCAUCGAAUCUUUGAACGCACCUUGCGCUCCUUGGUAUUCCUUGGAGCAUGCCUGUUUGAGUAUCAUGAAA